CCUACGGGUGGCUGCAGUGAGGAAUAUUGCACAAUGGGCGAAAGCCUGAUGCAGCAACGCCGCGUGAGCGAUGAAGGCCUUAGGGUCGUAAAGCUCUGUCCUCAAGGAAGAUAAUGACGGUACUUGUGGCGGAAUCCCCGGCUAACCACGUUCCAGCAGCCGCGGUAAUACGUAGGGGGCGAUCGUUAUCCGGAAUUACGGGGCGUAAAGGGGGGGUAGGUGGUUGCUUAAGUCAGAGGUGAAAGGUUAGGGCUAAACCGUAGGAAGCCUUUGAAACUGGGGUACUUGAGUGCAGGAGAGGUGGGUGGAAUUCGUGGUGUAGCGGUGAAAUGCGUAGAUAUUAGGAGGAACACCGGUUGCGAAGGCGGCUCUCUGGACUGUAACUGACACUGAGGCACGAAAGCGUGGGGAGCAAACAGGAUUAGAUACCCGGGUAGUC
rnacentral:rRNA from 1 species